rnacentral:lncRNA from 1 species
UUCUGAGGCCCACCUCCUGCUGCCCCUGCCUGUAUUCUUCCCAGCUCCUCUGCCCAGUCUGGAUCCAUCUUGGCUGCUGCACGUAUUUUGGCCCUUGCUGCUCCAAGUCCCACACUGAGCCUGGUAUCCUGGGCAGUCAUCUCUGCAACUGGGCCUCUGACGGCACCUGCUCCAACCUGAGGGUUUCCCUGGCCUGGGGCCAAUCAGAACUCUCCAGCCCCAUUUCAUUUUCCUCUUCCUUAUGUUCUAGGUGCAAUGUUUUAAGGGGAAGACUUACACUAUGAAGCUAGCCCAGAAGAGGGUGACUAGAGUACUGAGGAGUUUCUACCUGGAAGGGCUGUAAGGAAGACAACUGCUAUGUUGUGAGCGGCUCUAUGGAGAGGCCCAUGUGGAGGGAAGUGAGGAAGGCCUCUGGCCAACAGUCCAGGAGGAAGUGAAGCCCUCAGUCCAACAGCCUGUGUGGAACUGAACCCUGCAAACAACUCUGUGUGUGAGCUUGGAAGUGGAUCCAUAUUCAGUCAAACCUUGAGAUGGGACACCAUGCUCUGCUAACACUUGAUUGUGGUCCCAGCUAGGCCACUGCUGAAGUCUUGACUCAGAGAAACGAUGAUAUAGUAAAUGUUUGUUGUUUCAAGUUGGUAAGUUUUGGGAUAAUUUUUUAUAUAGUGAUAAUUUUUUAUAUACUUUAAAAUAACACAUUGCCCUAUCCUUUGGUUACACUUUUCUCUUGGAACUCUGCUUGCCCAUAUAUUACAGAAAUAUUUUUCAGAUCAUGGGCUGAAAGGUGGAUUAUGGAUGCAAUGUUUAAAUUUAGCAAUGUCAUUUAUGACUGUUCAUAUGAGCUUUGCUGCAUAAAAUGUUGAUAUUAAUUUGUUUCCCUUUAAGACAUUCUUAAUGUUUACCUCUCAGUAUUUUCUUUGUAAUCAAUUAAUGUAAGAUGAAUAUAGUUUGUAGGUUUUACCUUUCUUGAUUCGUAUACAAAACACACAACAUCCAACCAUUGUUAUUUAAAGAUUAUCUAGGAGGAGAUGAUGGAAACUCUGUUUUGGGCCACCUUCUUUACACAUUGGGUCUAUUUCCCCUAACUUGAGUAUAUAUUAAACUAGUGGGGGAUUGAGCUACAAAAAUGCUACUUGGUGAGAAUUUUAUUAAUACAAAUACUCAACUCUGAAGUUACGUUUUUGUGGAAAGUUAUCACUUUGGAAUUUGAAUUUUCUUGGAGCUAAGCCACUGGUAGUUGUAAAAGCUACACCUGUAAAUUUGCUCCCUAGAAGAUACUUUCGUUUAGUGACCACUUGUUUCUCUGUGGAUAAAUUCAAUUAUAAAUUACAAUCGAAUUGACGUUUUCAUAGCAUCCUUCACUCUCCAAGUAUCUCAAGUCCUCUGUGAAUUAUAAAGUAAUUACAGUGCUCAAAGGACAGUUUCAUAAUUGUGUCCAUGAGCACAGACUUUCCUCUAUGUUCGAGAAGGGCUCAUUCCCAGCCGGGAACAUUAAGUUGGAUUUUAUUGAGACUGGGGACUGCUAGUCCAGACAGCUGGGUGAUCCCCUGCGCUAUUUUGAAAAGUAUCCUGGGAUCUUUAAUUUCCACCUGGAUGGUCAGGGAGGUGAGAGAACGGCCCUCACUGGGUGUGACCUUGUAUCCCACUUGGGGUCUUGAACCAGGGGACCCCCAACCCCAGAGGUGAGACAUGCAAUAUGGUCAAUUAUACAACCUCUUAAUUAUUUUUUGCUGAAUCUCAAGUGAGUUCUCAUGGCCUGCUCUCUCCCGGGUGGGUUCAGAAGGUGGCCAAGAAGAAAUGUUAGAAAAUUCCCAGAGAGCCAUUUCAUGAGAAUGUUUUCUUUGGUUUAUACCUGAUACUGUUUUGUUUUUGUUGUUGCUUUUUAAUAACUUUUUUUUCUUUUUGUGGGGUCAUUUGCGUAAUACACAGGUGACGAACACUCAAGGUUAUUUGGUCGCAUGCCACCAAAUAACUUUCCUUUGGCACAUCUGCAGUGAAGGAGUCUUUCUGUCUGUCUCCUUUUGUUCCUCAUCAUCUAUUAGCUUGGCACAGCUGACUGAGCUGUUAAAUGAUUACUGCAUAUUUUGUACCUCACCUUGAGAGGCUUUGGUAUAAAAAGGUGCUAAUUAAGCUGAAGCUUCUGGCCCUCUUGCCUAUGUGGGCCCCAGGAAGCGAAGCAAAAAGACUUUAGGGAGCUGGAGCUUGUGUGUGUGUGUGUGUGUGUGUGUGUGUGUGUGUGUGUGUGUGUGUGUGUGUGUGUUUCGUUUUCAGCAUUUUGAGGAAUUGUUACUGGAACUUAUAAAAUAAUUGUUUUAGACCUUAUAAACACAGCAAAUUCUUCAAACUACGUAUGAGGCUGACUCAAAAAGCCACGUAAAGGUAGCUUGGCGAAUCAACUAACUGCUGACCAGUUUGUGGUGAUCGUAAGUCUAUAUAUGCUGGAUUUGGCGAUCGUAAGUCUAUAUAUGCUGGAUUUGAAUAUUUUCUGUAUUUAAAGAAAAAUAAGUACAUUCUAAGAAUAGUUGUCAUCUCCCUCUGUAGACUUGCCCCGUAGAUAUUUGAAAUGGGGAUUAACAUAUUUAAGAGUAGCAGGAAGUGCUAUUUCAUCAGUGUCUAGAAUGGGAGGCGAAUUCAGUCCCUGCCUGGACUUGUUGACUAGCUCGCUGGGUUGUGAAAACCACGGCAUUCUCCUGGGAAUUUGUUCCAGGGCACUGACUGCAUUUCUUCUGAAGCUAAAGCACUUAGCUUUGCUUCCAUGCCUUUUAAUAUAAUUUGUAGGCUUCAGCAGAUUUCUAAAGUACACCACUUGAUAUCUUUCACAGCUCAAGGUAAAUUCUGCAGCACGAACUUAUAGAAUUUUUUUCUUUUACCUGGGGUGAGAACAUACCUUUUCCUAGUGCUAUUUUUUUUUUCUGGGCUACCUUUCAUCUGUUUACAUGAAUUCCACUUCUUCUCGCUGUGUUAAAGAAAUCCCCUAAGCUGUCUACAUAGGUGUGAAACUUUUGGUUGUGAUUUCCUUGAAGUUAGUUGGAACUGGAACAUUUUUUUCUGUGUCCUGAAUGGCUCACACAUUCCCUAACACAGAAUGGAUACUCAGCGAACAGUUGUUGAAUCAGUGAACGGUAAUGGCUCAGUUCUGUCAGACAAUGGAUUGAAUUAUUUUUACACCUUUAAUUCACUCAUGGACUGAAUUAACCUACUCAUGGGCUGUUUGGGGCAUCAAGUGAUAUUUAUACAUUUCUGAAGAAUGUGGAAUCACCAGGGUUAACAGUGUUUGCAGGUGGCGUUCGAUUGCAGGGGCCCAAGGAACCACGGCUGAAUUCCGCAUGGACAUAGGCCAUUUUCCACCAGCAAAGUUAUGAGAACUUUUUUUGUUUUGGUAACUGAUGUGAAAUUUUCAGUUCCGAAUGACAUCCAGAAACUCUCCUUCUGCAGCAGAUGAAUGUUUUGAGGGAAUUUGAGAGGAGGGUUUGUCUUUUAUCUCUCACCUGCACGAGGACACUUGCAGUCUCUUAAGAGAUGUUCUCUUUUUGAAAUGGUGGAAGGACAGAAGCAUCAGCCAGCCCGUUCAUGCUUGGGGACAGAGAGGGAGCUCAGAGCUUAGGGGAGCACAGGUCACUCUAAUGAAUGACAGCUGUAAUAAUAAAGACAUGCCAUCCAUGCUACUUUUUGCAGAAACCAGAAACAUCCUUGUGAAAGUUAAAGGGAAAAGAAAAACGUGUACUUUGAGGGGGGUGUUAACGGGGGACAGGAGGUGGCGACAUAAAAGACUGGUUUAAUGUGUCUCGUUGUAGCCCCUAAGGCUUUACCUGACCCCAUCACUGUCACAACACCUUCUUCGGGACUGACAGUCUUGGUAAUUGAUGGGUUGGUGGGGGCUUUUUUCUGCAAACACAUUAAGGCAGGAGGGAAUACUCUGGCCCCCACCUCCCCACGCCUGGCACGGGGGACCUGGAGGCGAGCAGACACCAGGCCCGGCGGUGUUGGGGGCAGAAGGGAUCAAUUCUGUCAACCAGACUGCCCAGCUACUGUCAGGCACUGGGACCCUUCACCUGCUCCUUGGAGUCAUUAGAACUCCCAAAUCUCUUUGCAGGCCUUUUCUAUUAGACACAUACUCCCAUGUUUUGAUUUUUUGCUCCCAAAGUCAUUUUUUUAAAUAAUUACCUGCAUCGAACCACACUUACCAUCUGUGGGCUGAGAGCGGGCAAAUGAUUUAUUAGUCUUGGUUUCUAACGGUGCUGAGCAGCUUGGGAUCGAUCUUGCUGGUGACACACUCGGCAGAUGCACCGAUGGGUGGGAGGGUCAAUGUCAGGAUGAAGCUUCUUGCGGAGCUGACAUGCACGUGGGGACCCCAGGUGUGGUGUUUAGUUGGUAGACUGUGACAUUGCAAAAGUGGAGUCUCAAGCCAUGGCGGAUAACAGGCGGCAGAAAAAGCAGUGAGGGAGCUUCUUGGGAUGUUUUACUUUAAGUAGAAAGUAAAACUGUGCAUGAAAAGAGGGGACAGAGUAUGCAACCCAAAUCAUCGCCAAGGCUCUUGGUUUCUUCUGUGCACACUGCCUGCCUUGUAUCCAAGCGUUUGACUGUGCAGAGGCCAGUCAUACUGGGGGACCCUGAGCACUACCCUUGGCAUUUGGGUAUAUCCUGAUCAAUAUAGCCAUUUCCACUGCUUGACAUUAUGUUUUGGGGGCUAGUUUUUUAAAGAUCAAUGAUUGAAUUGCUGCUCGGCUGAUUGGAUAUGUCUUCUCGGAGACUCACCUGUCCUCCCCGAAGAGAUGCUGACUACACAACAGCAGUCACUGUGCUGGGCACACGGGCAGUGUUCAGGAGACGUGGCUUCCUUUCUUCUUCUUUCAUUUCUUCCUGCCCAGAACAGCAAGGCUGAGACUGAUAAUAAAAUUCCUGGAACAUGGAGAAACUCAUGUGGGGAGAAAAGAAGAAAUGUAUUGUGACUUCCAUGGGCUUUUGGCACUUUUGGACCUCCCUCCUCCUCUUUUCCAUAAAAAAUGUAUUUUAAGACAUAUUGGUAUAAAGAUGAGAUUAUUCAUAGUACAUAUUAAAAUGUUUUCCCCUACCUAAAAGUUUGUGGUUUUAUUGUCUUCUUGUUUUUAAAAUAAAUUAAAAUAUUUUCAAAGGCCGUUAGAAGAACCGUGGGCCCUGGGCUUGGUGCCUGCUGUGCCUCAUAAAUCAGGCCUGGAGAAGAGACAUCAGUGACAUUUUAGUGUCAGGUAGAAAAUGUAAAAUAUCAUGAUUGUUUUCCAAUGAUAUACUAAGUAAGACACAUAAGAUGUGUUUUAAUUUUUUUCUUGAUGUAUGCUGUUGUCUUUUAGUUAUAAAUGCUGAGUACUGUUAAAAGAUAAACUGAGGCACAAUAAAAUUUGAAGAGUUUAUUUGAGCAAACAAUGAUUUGUUACCGAAACACCAGGGGUUCAUCUGGGUCCUGCUGCUUGCCACACAGAAAGCCAAUCACUGAG